rnacentral:misc_RNA from 1 species
AAAUGGCGAAAAUGAUCCAUAUAGCGGAUCCCAACUAGUUUGGGUUAGGAUUAGUUUAGUUGUUCUAGCUCCUGCGCCAACUCACCUCCACCCCAUGGGCAUUUGACCAUGGUUGGGGUUGGAAGUGUUUCAAGAUGCAGAUUUAUCCUUAAAUGCACUUUUUAAUAUGUAUUAAACAUAGUCAAUUAAUUGUCUUUAAAAUGCAUAGUGUAGGAAGAGUUGGAUUUUGUACUAAAGCAUACAUGAGAGAUAAG